rnacentral:piRNA from 1 species
CAGAACAAGAACACAUGCCUCACUUCCAGA